rnacentral:rRNA from 1 species
UACGAAGGGGGCUAGCGUUGUUCGGAAUCACUGGGCGUAAAGCGCACGUAGGCGGACUGCUAAGUCAGAGGUGAAAUCCUGGGGCUCAACCCCAGAACUGCCUUUGAUACUGGCGGUCUUGAGUGUGGAAGAGGUUGGUGGAACUCCGAGUGUAGAGGUGAAAUUCGUAGAUAUUCGGAAGAACACCAGUGGCGAAGGCGGCCAACUGGUCCACUACUGACGCUGAGGUGCGAAAGCGUGGGGAG